GUCUCAAUGUCAAAUGUGGAUGAAAUUAAUAAUAAUAAUAAAAAUAAUAAUAUGGGAUAAACAAGGAGAAAAGGGAAAUGAUUUUCUUCUCCCCUCCCUUCUACAUUUUAAACUGAGUCCUGGUUAAGAGUAGGGUUAAUGGCCAAUAGUUUUUCUUAUGAUAGUUUUUCUUAUGAAAAUUCAUUAGAAUACUUAUAGCCUUGACGUGAAAGGAGGUGAAGUACCCGUGCACUGCAGCACUGCAGACUUGUUUACCUGCACAGUCUCCUCAGUUUCUACAGUAUACAGCAUCUCACUGAAAGCAAUGGUCGUGACACAGAGGAAUAAGACACACCGGGAUAAUUGAAUGUCAGUAUUUAUAGCCAUCCUACUACUGAUGUAUACUAUUAAAGCAAUUUCCAGUCAAAUGCAUGUUAAUAUAUUUUUCCUGUCCAGAAGGAAUGGAUAAACAAACUGAGAUGAAUAAAGAUGAAUCACCUGGCACCUAAAACUUUCAUUAGGUGACGACUUACCUAAUUUAACUUAAUUCUGUCAAGAUGGAGUAUUUUUUUAACCUCUUUUGAGUAUAGAACUGUGAUAAUAAUGAAUUCAGUAACCCCACAUGAGUCAGGGAUUUUUCUUCAUCAAGACGCAUAAAUUAAGAGAAAUUUAUUAACUGUGAUUUCUGGUUAUCAGUCAAGCUUCGCACUUCUGAGUGUCACAUGGGAUAUUUCUAGAGAUAAAAUUCAGAAGAGUGAAAACACAUUUCAAAACAUCUUUACACAUAUUUUUUACACAUUGAUGUCCAAGGUUGAUGAUUUCCAAAUAAACGCAUGUGCCCUCCCCAGUGUUGGAAAAGCAGGAGACGGCAUUGUUGGCGAGGAGGAGACUGAUGUUGGCGAGUAUAUGGCACACUGCAGCUUGAGACAGGCCAGAUAUCACUUAUUGGUCACUUAGUGCCGCCUCUAAUAAACUGUUUCAGUGCAUUAAGAGAAGAUGCCGUGAAAAACAGAACCGACUUAUAUGCUGAGCCUUUACGGUUCAUCCUUCUACAGAAUUUCUUCUUAAUGAAAUGACUGGGCUUAAUUGUCUUAAUUUAUGGAUUUAUGUUGGCUUUUUUUUAUUAUUUCUUAAAUAUUUAAUAUUUCUUUAAUUAAUGUGAUUAAUACAAAAUGACUGGAUUUUUACAAAAUGUUCAUUAAAUGUGUGUGAGUGUAAUUGAAAUACAAACUUGACAGCAUAAUCCGUAUAUAAAAGUGCAUUAUCCAUACAAAUGAUAUGAUUUGAAGCAGCUCAGUUGUGUUUGAUAUUAGUUAGUCUUCGUUCACGUAAAUUUACACACACUUGAGCACGAUUAUGAUACGAUUUUCUGAAAUUACGGGAUUUUCAUGAAUACUAAAUUUCUUGCAUAAAUGCUCAAAAAAAGAACCAUUUAUGAUUAAAUGUUUUAAGUAUACUAUUCUGUAUAUAAGGAGCUUUUACAAUAAAUACAAUGUUUAUGAUGUUCAAAAAUCACACAAAAUAAUUUAUUUAUUUAUUUUUUUUACAGUUUAUAGCAUUAGUGAUCCUAGAACAUCUGGUAGAUGAAUGUCUGUAUCACAUCCUCCAAGAACUCCAUCUCCCAGAAUCCCCUGCUGACUACCACACCCCUCUCUCAGCCAACCCACUCCUCUUCGCAAGCUCACUAAUCACACUCACCUGCACCUCAUUUACUAAUCACCACUUCACCCUUAAAUGCAUCUCAGUUUUGUGCAGUUUUGGUCUUGUUUGUGCUCUUCAGCUCACAAGUCUGAUGGUUUGUCUACAAUGGAAUCUGGGAAUGAGCAUUCAGAAAUGGAAAAUAAAAUCUAGAUGGAUGCACUAGCCCCGGCGUAAGGGACAAGGAGAUUACGUGAUCAGGUUUUCAUUCAGAAACGCCUGGCAGGCCUUCACCAAUGAAAAUAUAAAAGGGCAAGGGCAAAGACACGGCAGUCAUUCUGAUCCGCUCUCCCAGGGGCAAUGUCAUUUCGUCAGGAGCCACACGUCUCCAGACCAGACCACAAGAUGCAAAACUGUGAACUGUGAAACUCAUGAAUAGGUGUGUAGCAUUCAAGAAUGUCUCUAACCUCAACUAAAUGUAGCCUCAAUCAAUCUCAGAUCUCAAACUAUGAAAUGUACAACAUGGCUGAUUAGAUUUAAAAAAAGAUAUUAUAAGAUAAGACAUCAAUGAAUUAAAAUAACAAAUAAAAAACUAAACAAAAAUUAUGCAGAUAAAUUGUCUAUUUAUAUGGCUGUGUAAUGAUAUUUAAAGACAUUACUGGUAGCCAAGCCAGCACACACAUCAUCUUGGGUAACUAGCUCUAAUUCAUUUCUGCAGGAUUAUGUUCUAGUCGGCUCUUGUUUGCUUCCUGGUGUCUCCCUGUUCCAGCUCUGCCCUGACAAUGUUCCUUGUUAUUGCUCACAUCUGUUCCUCAUUGUGUGUCGUCUCCGUGCAUGUGCUGUAUACUCAUGUUUGUCGAUGCUACGUAAAAUCUUCCCCCGUGAGCCUACAGUCCCAUCCACAUGCAUAUGGACAGUUCAAAAAAAAAAAAAUUUCACCCAUCUCUAAUCUGUAAUCUCUGUCCACAUGAAAAUUUUGAAAAUCUGCUCAUAAGCAUGCCAGCCCAGGAAGUAAUGAUAGUAUAGACAUUUAUAUCAAACACCUCAACAACAACGUUAAGAGCUGCGUAUUGAGUGUCGGAGAAGGUGAAAGACAGAAAAACACCAACACAAUGAUUCGAAUGUGAGAACUGUCAAUGAUGUAGUCAUUCACUCCUCUCUAUCUUAUCGAAAAUCUCCGUUCACAGUGAGGUUUGUACCACUGAUGGAUUCAGCACUCAUCAUAUUAUAUUUAAUAAGCAUAAAGUGAAAUGAUAUUGCAAAAAUGUUACUAGAUAGGAAAUUACAGACCACAAAGGAACAAUGAUAUGAUGAACAGAGUCCUGGUGUGUAAUGGCCAUGCGCAAGUUGAUGCUGUGACAUCAGCGUUUUCAAAUUUCAUAAUUUUCAUAAUUUCUUCACAUUUGAUGGUGCUUUUGAUGUUAUUUUUUUUUCCUUUCUUUUUUUCAGUGACCCAAAACACCAUUUUCAUGUGUACGGGAGGCAGAAAUAUCCGUAUACAUGUGGACGGGGUUUAAGCUGCAUCUGAAAUUAUGUCGUACACUCUAUAUACUAUGUGCUUGAGAAGGUAGUAUCUGGUUUUUGUCGGGUUGCGACUUCUCAAAUCGAACACUAACAUUUUGCACUGCACCAAAAUGGAAAAUUAAUUGACCUGCCAUGUAACACCCUUCAAAGGAGCAUCUGCUGGUUUAAAAAAACCCAAUAUCAGGUUUUGCUCUUCAUUUGCAUCCACUGUAUAUUAGCAUGAUCAUUCAGUAAGUUGACCAUUCAGCAACAUUUAAACUGCAGCAUAUCUGAGCGUAUGCCGUUUUCUUUAAAAAAAAAAAAAAUCAUCUUUUUUUUUUCAUUUACUCACAUCAAAGAGUGUAGAGUAAUGUAGUGUAAUUUAAGUUUCAUUUCAUGUUGUUGUCAAGAGCAUUCAGUUCCACUCCAGGAUUGGCAGAGUCCACAGAGUUACUGAUUUUGCUGCUCAAAGAGCCCUGAUUCAGCUCACCAGUUAAUCACCAGGGUUAGUAGCUGUUUUAGGGGAAAGUUCUCCAGGACUGGAGCUGAUGACCCCUGCUGUAGUCCUUGUUCAGACUCUUACAGCUGUUUCCAAAGUUAAUCUAACACUUGUCUUAAAAGGCUGACAGCCGUCUAUGUAAUUUUUUAAAAAGUUUUUAGAAUUAUUGAUUUUUUUUUCUUUCGGCUUCAUGAUGCGUGACUGGUGGCUACAAAGGAGCCAAUAAAAGGACUCAAAUGCCACACAAAUGCAACCAGACUAACCAGAGGAAUUGACUAGAGUUCCUCUAAUUCAAAGAACUGUAAAUGGGAAAAGAAAUUCUGGUAGAAAAUAACUGCAUAUUACAGUGCUUUGACCUGCACACUAUACUCAAAAAGCCACAAUACAGUAAAUGUUGUUGUGGAUUUCAGUAAAUUGAACGUUCUUAUAGUUCCAGGCUUUAAAUUAAAAAAAAGAAAGCAAAUUGGAUGUUCCCCCACCCCCCUUAAUUGAGUUUUAAUUCUCACUGUCUUUACUUUUCUAAUGACAUUUUCCCAAUUCUAUCAUACUUCUGCUUUUCAUAAAAAUGUUGAAAUUGAUGUAAAAAUGUACCACAAGUAUAUGGUAUAAUUCGUAAUCCAAACUAGAACAAGCAUUCAAGCAUUCUCAGUGUAAGUGCAAAUAAUAAAACAGCUGGACCAUUUUAUAUACAUGAUAAAUAAAAUACAUGAAUGAUACAGCAAAGUGUAUAUGUUCAAACUUUGGAAAUUGACUUUAUCUGAUAUCUUGUUUUUUUUUUUUUUUUUUUUUAAAUUCAAAACGCACAAUGCCAAUGCCAAUGUUUGUCCUGGCAAAAAAAACCCAGAGUUCCAUCUCAUGUCAUGUUGGGACCCUCAUCCGUCCCCAAGCUCCCGAUAAGAGGCAUGUCGUUGCCUUAGCGGAGACAUCGGAUCUGAAAGGACAUCCCCUCGUUAGGCCACUCGGAGACGUUGGGCGCUUGCGGACAGACGGCAGACGGCCAUUAUCUCUGUCACCUGACACACACGACACGGCCGAGGCUUUACUCUUUAAUGUCUCUGUGGUGAACCUGAGAGCAUCCAUUUUGCUUGUCCUGGCUGUUUCAUCCGAUCCUGUCAGUAGGGAUUGCGAGGGCUCAUAAAUGAUGGAGGAGGUUUUUAUCGUUCCUGUUCUGUCAUAUUUUGGGGAUUGUAGAGCUGCGAUUUGCAGAGAAAUGAGACUUGAUCCUUCCACAAAUAUUUGAUGUAAUCUCUUCUUGAUUACUUGAUAUUACUGCAAAAUUUUCAGAUGGUUUGGGCUUGAUGGAAAGGUUUCCAAAGAAAGAGUGAUUUUUGGUUAUGCAAUAGGCUCUUUAUUAUCCUUUGUGUUUACUAUCUGCUGUCUGUCUAUAGUCUGAGGGGGGUAAAAGGGAUACUAAACUGUAAACCUUUCUUAAUCUUUUGCACAUUUUAUAUGUAUCUUUGGCCUGGAAAUGUGGAUGUUGUGUACCUUUAGAAAAGAUUUAAGGUGCAUUAAAGGACAGUAAUUAGAGUUUUUGAGUUAAGCUGAAAUUCACUGUAAGAGACUUUAAAGGUCCUAAAGGUGUACAGUGACAUGCAAAGGUACAGUUCAGCACCUUUAUUUUGCUUUUCUUCAAACUUGCACAGCCGAUUUUAAGAGAGAGAGAAAUAUUGCAAAGCAUAUUGUUCCAUAGCAUUCUGUCCCAAACUGUCUGUCUGUCUGUCUUCAGAAGCACAAAUGAAAUGAUGAUGGACCUCCAUUCAAAGACUUAACUUUUUUUUCUUGCCCUACCCCAGAUUUCUCCAUCUCUCUCUUUCUCAUCCAUACAAUAUUAUUAGCACUGUGUCCUGAGAUCCUCGGAAUAAAUCCCAAACGACUCAUUAUUGCACAUAUAGCGAGGUUGUGUAGGCGGUAAGGCUGCAUUAUUUCAUCCCUCCUGCGCGCAGUGCGCUGAUGUAGGGAACACGGGGCGUUUGGGACUCGGCCUUGAGAGGCAAGCACCUCGCUGUGUCCUGCUGUUAAAGCUCACUAUUACCACCCCCUGGGCGAGAUGGGGGAGAGACAUGUUGCAGGAAGGAAGGAUGUUGUACAGAGUAAUGAAAGGAAGAGAAAAAUGGGUGAUUGGAAUGAACUCAGGUUAUAAGCAACUGAUCAUUGUAAUAAGUGCUGAGAGCUGAGAGACGCCUGCAGUGAAAUCUCUCAAACAGCCCACAGAUUUACAGCUGCCAGGUAGACACACACACACACACACUGCACGAGUCCUCUGUUCUUCCUUAUAAUGGAUUAUCAUCAGGUUCAUUAUUAUUAUUAUUAUUAUUAUUGUUAUUUUGCUGAUGAAUUCCUCAAGCAGCUUUCAAUCUUACUUUGUAUCCAAGUUACUUUUUUUUUUUUUCCCCUCACACUCUUCCUUACACCCCACUGGUAAUAAAUCACCUGCAGGUAUUCAUUAGUUCUUCCAGGGUUUAUAUGUGUCGUGUGAGAUUAAUAGAAACACAGAGGUGCGGCGCGCAACCAUGCGUAAUUCUAAACGGAAAAAAAAAAACACUGGAAGGAAAUUCAUCAUCCAACACGCGCGCAUGUUUGGUCUAAAGGUAAUUUUUCACACAUCACUUUCUUGGACACCUCCCUGACUCUGACUCAGGGUGUGUGUAUGUUCCGUUAAUGACCCGUGAAAAUGAAAUUACACCGGGUGAAAUGUUGCGCGUCUCAUUAAAAGGCGCUAAUUACCCAGUGCAAGAAGCGCCUGGGUUUCCUAACUACUUGUUGAAGGAAAUAAGAAGUAUAGGUGUGUGUGUGUGUGUGUGUGUGUGAGUGGACUUACAGUGAACGGCAGCCAUGGCUGAGCUGAACACGGCGAGCAGAGACGCACCGAGCGCGCAACACCGCCACUUCUGUAACUCCAUGGCCGCGUAAA